rnacentral:rRNA from 1 species
UACGUAGGGUGCAAGCGUUGUCCGGAAUUAUUGGGCGUAAAGAGCUCGUAGGCGGUCUGUUGCGUCGGCUGUGAAAACCCGAGGCUCAACCUCGCGCCUGCAGUGGGUACGGGCAGACUAGAGUGCGGUAGGGGAGAUUGGAAUUCCUGGUGUAGCGGUGGAAUGCGCAGAUAUCAGGAGGAACACCGGUGGCGAAGGCGGUUCUCUGGGCAUGUCCUGACGCUGAGGAGCGAAAGCGUGGGGAGCGAACAGG